GCCAGACUCCUACGGGAGGCAGCAGUGGGGAAUAUUGCACAAUGGGGGGAACACUGAUGCAGCGACGCCGCGUGAGUGAAGAAGUAUUUCGGUACGUAAAGCUCUAUCAGCAGGGAAGAAAAAAGGACGGUACCUGAGUAAGAAGCCCCGGCUAACUACGUGCCAGCAGCCGCGGUAAUACGUAGGGGGCAAGCGUUAUCCGGAUUUACUGGGUGUAAAGGGGGCGCAGACGGCGAUGCAAGCCAGGAGUGAAAGCCCGGGGCCCAACCCCGGGACUGCUCUUGGAACUGCGUGGCUGGAGUGCAGGAGGGGCAGGCGGAAUUCCUGGUGUAGCGGUGAAAUGCGUAUAUAUCAGGAAGAACACCAGUGGCGAAGGCGGAUGACUGGACGGCAACUGACUGUGAGGCGCGAAAGCGUGGGGAGCACACAGGAUUAGAUACCCCCGUAG
rnacentral:rRNA from 1 species